GUUGAGUGGGAAUAAAGAGCCAACAUAAUAUGAAUGGGGAAUGCCGAUAAAUCAACGUUUUUCAACUUAUGAAAUGCUUGAUUUUCAUUGAAAAUGAUAUGGUUCCCUACCAUUUUCCCUACCAAAAACCCCUGUCAGGAUAACGCUUGACAGGGGUUAAUUU
rnacentral:sRNA from 1 species